GACGAACGCUGGCGGCGUGCCUAAUACAUGCAAGUCGAACGAGAGCGACCGGUGCUUGCACUGGUCAAUCUAGUGGCGAACGGGUGAGUAACACGUGGGUAACCUGCCCAUCAGAGGGGGAUAACAUCCGGAAACGGAUGCUAAAACCGCAUAGGUCUUCGAGCCGCAUGGCUUGAAGAGGAAAAGAGGCGCAAGCUUCUGCUGAUGGAUGGACCCGCGGUGCAUUAGCUAGUUGGUGAGGUAACGGCUCACCAAGGCCGUGAUGCAUAGCCGACCUGAGAGGGUGAUCGGCCACAUUGGGACUGAGACACGGCCCAAACUCCUACGGGAGGCAGCAGUAGGGAAUCUUCCGCAAUGGACGCAAGUCUGACGGAGCAACGCCGCGUGAGUGAAGAAGGUUUUCGGAUCGUAAAACUCUGUUGUUAGAGAAGAACGAGUGCUAGAGUAACUGUUAGCGCCUUGACGGUAUCUAACCAGAAAGCCACGGCUAACUACGUG
rnacentral:rRNA from 1 species